CCUCUUCUCAGCCACACAAUCCUUCACAAUCCAGACACAUGGGGAUGUUCUCUCAGGCAGUGACAGUGCGGUCCUCCAUCUAAUGCUCCCCUGCUGAUCCACAUCACCCUGAAAGACUGAGGAGAGGGGACAGCUUCUAACGCAGCACCCACCGCUCACUCGGCUAACAGGGCUAUUCUAGAAAAGCUUUAGAGACACCAAACAUAUGCAUUACUGAAAAGAGGGACAUGGAUUUUGAUUCAACAGCGGUUCUGUGCUACAUGAUUUACUAAACUGACUUACAAAUGUUUUAUGCCAAGAGAACUUGCACAAUUUCAAGUACAGCCUAAGAGGUGAGAUGAUGCAGCCCAUCUUGCAUGUGUGAAAAUUGCAUCACCACUGGCCACCCAAUGGCUGAAGCGCAAAAACGUCAACAAUGGAGGAUGCUUCAAUGAAGGGGAAAAGUAGCAGCAAAGGGGAGCAUGGAGCUGUUAUUGUCAGAAAAUAAAUAAAUAAAGUUGCCAUAAUAUGCAAAUAUAAUAUGCAAGUGCUCCAGCAGAACCACUUCCAAUCAGUUCCACCUUUAGAUUGUUAUUUUAUGCCUCUGCCUAUCAUUAACCACAUAAAGAAACACUUUCUACGCUGAUAGAAAACCCCUCUUGUCAAUUGUACAGUCCCUGGGAUUAUAAAUUCAUCUGCCAGAUAUCCACGUAUUAUUACAUAUUAACUGUAUUGCCUCUAAAUUGCAUUUUUUCCAACUUAUCAUUAAUACAGAUA